UACGUAGGGUGCAAGCGUUGUCCGGAAUUAUUGGGCGUAAAGAGCUCGUAGGCGGUUUGUCGCGUCUGCUGUGAAAGACCGGGGCUCAACUCCGGUUCUGCAGUGGGUACGGGCAGACUAGAGUGAUGUAGGGGAGACUGGAAUUCCUGGUGUAGCGGUGAAAUGCGCAGAUAUCAGGAGGAACACCGGUGGCGAAGGCGGGUCUCUGGGAAACAACUGACGCUGAGGAACGAAAGCGUGGGUAGCAAACAGG
rnacentral:rRNA from 1 species